GAUGAACGCUGGCGGCGUGCCUAAUACAUGCAAGUAGAACGCUGAAGGAGGAGCUUGCUCUUCUGGAUGAGUUGCGAACGGGUGAGUAACGCGUAGGUAACCUGCCUGGUAGCGGGGGAUAACUAUUGGAAACGAUAGCUAAUACCGCAUGACAACAGUUAUUGCAUGAUAACUGUUUAAAAGGGGCAACUGCUCCACUACCAGAUGGACCUGCGUUGUAUUAGCUAGUUGGUGAGGUAACGGCUCACCAAGGCGACGAUACAUAGCCGACCUGAGAGGGUGAUCGGCCACACUGGGACUGAGACACGGCCCAGACUCCUACGGGAGGCAGCAGUAGGGAAGCUUCGGCAAUGGACGGAAGUCUGACCGAGCAACGCCGCGUGAGUGAAGAAGGGUUUCGGAUCGUAAAGCUCUGUUGUAAGAGAAGAACGAGUGUGAGAGUGGAAAGUUCACACUGUGACGGUAUCUUACCAGAAAGGGACGGCUAACUACGUG
rnacentral:rRNA from 1 species